rnacentral:rRNA from 1 species
UGGGGAAUAUUGCACAAUGGGCGAAAGCCUGAUGCAGCGACGCCGCGUGCGGGAUGAAGGCCUUCGGGUUGUAAACCGCUUUUAAUUGGGAGCAAGCGAGAGUGAGUGUACCUUUUGAAUAAGCACCGGCUAACUACGUGCCAGCAGCCGCGGUAAUACGUAGGGUGCAAGCGUUAUCCGGAAUUAUUGGGCGUAAAGAGCUCGUAGGCGGUUUGUCACGCCUGGUGUGAAAGUCCAUCGCUUAACGGUGGAUCUGCGCCGGGUACGGGCAGGCUAGAGUGCAGUAGGGGAGAUUGGAAUUCCCGGUGUAACGGUGGAAUGUGUAGAUAUCGGGAAGAACACCAAUGGCGAAGGCAGAUCUCUGGGCUGUUACUGACGCUGAGGAGCGAAAGCAUGGGGAGCGAACAGGAUUAGAUACCCUGGUAGUCCAUGCCGUAAAACGGUGGAUGCUGGAUGUGGGACCCUUCCACGGG